rnacentral:tRNA from 1 species
UGCGACGUAGCUCAAUGGAGAGAGCCUCUGCUUUCUACUGAAAUUCAGCCUGGCCGUUGAAAAGUAAGGGCAGAGAGAUGCGGGUUCAAGUCCCGUCGUCGCCACCA